UGAGGAAUAUUGGUCAAUGGGCGCAAGCCUGAACCAGCCAAGUAGCGUGCAGGAUGACGGCCCUAUGGGUUGUAAACUGCUUUUAUGCGGGGAUAAAGUGAGGGACGUGUCCCUCAUUGCAGGUACCGCAUGAAUAAGGACCGGCUAAUUCCGUG
rnacentral:rRNA from 1 species